rnacentral:rRNA from 1 species
GAUGAACGCUAGCUACAGGCUUAACACAUGCAAGUCGUGGGGCAUCAUGAUGUAGUAAUACAUUGAUGGCGACCGGCGCACGGGUGAGUAACGCGUAUCCAACCUACCCUCCACUCAAGUAUAGGCUUCCGAAAGGGAGAUUAAUCCUUGAUAUCGUCAUUCUCUCUCCUGUUAGAAUGAUAAAAGGACAUCGUUUCGGUAGAGGAUGGGGAUGCGUUCCAUUAGGUAGUAGGCGGUUUAACAGGCCACCUAGCCGAUGAUGGAUAGGGGUUCUGAGAGGAAUAUCCCCCACACUGGUACUGAGAUACGGACCAGACUCCUACGGGAGGCAGCAGUGAGGAAUAUUGGUCAAUGGGCGCAAGCCUGAACCAGCCAUGUAGCGUGAAGGAUGA